AGCUUUGCGCAGUGGCAGUAUCGUAGCCAAUGAGGUUUAUCCGAGGCGCGAUUAUUGCUAAUUAAAGCACAUGGCAAAUCUGAAGAUGAGAUACACCAUCUUUUACUAUUCAAUCAAAAGAAAGCUUUGUUAAUUCUGUUUCAAA
rnacentral:snRNA from 1 species